rnacentral:rRNA from 1 species
CAGUAGCCACGGUAAUACAGAGGGUGCGAGCGUUAAUCGGAUUUACUGGGCGUAAAGCGUGUGUAGGUUGUUGUUCAAGUCAGUUGUGAAAUCCCUGGGCUCAACCUGGGAACUGCUUCUGAGACUGAACGACUAGAGUACGGUAGAGGGUGGUGGAAUUUCCGGUGUAGCGGUGAAAUGCGUAGAUAUCGGAAGGAACAUCAAUGGCGAAGGCAGCCACCUGGGCCUGUACUGACACUGAGACACGAAAGCGUGGGGAUCAAACAGGAUUAGAUACCCCUGUAGUCCCUGUCUCUUAUAC